AAGAUCUGCUACACCACCCUGGACAUGCUUGAUCCUGUCUCAAUUCAGAAGCAAGCAAGGCCAGGCCUGCGUUGUACUUAGACGGGCCAGGUUUUCUUGUGGUAGUUGCAAGGGUCAGAACUUG
rnacentral:rRNA from 1 species